UUUUAAGAUGGCAGACGAAGAGUCAAGCCUUCGAAUAUGCAAGAAACGUAAUCUUAACCGGAUCCAGAGGUUCUUUCAGGGGCUGGCUUGUUGAAUAACUUGAAGACGUUUAGGUCGCCGCUGACGCCUUAAAACAUCCGAACCGGCCGGAUAGAAUACCAUGCUCUAAGAUCACAUGGCCUCCUAUUGAUUUUGGCAAGUAUGUAAC
rnacentral:lncRNA from 1 species